GAUAGAAAUGGUUAUGUUCUUGAUGAACAUAAAGACAUAUGAGUUAAUAUGACUUUAGUAUGUGCUAUUUCUUAUUAGUUAUAUAAUUAUUCUAUUAUAUUUCUGUGCCAGUUGAGACGGUAAUACAGGUAGAAUUUCUUCCUUUUUAAAGGAAGAAAAAUGUGUUUUUUCUCUAGCUUUUAAAAAGAAAAUCAAGUAGUUUAUGAUGUACCAUAAAGAAAUGUUUUCCUUUAAUUAAUCAUUAUCUUUUUCAGUCAACAAGAUGUUAUUUGGUUCUAUGGUGAUCCAAUAGAGCGUGCUGUAACUAGCUUAUUAUUUUAGUAAAGAGCUGCAUGACCAUUCUGUGCUUAAGAUUUUAGUCUGAUUUGGUGACAUGGCUGAAUAUAAGUUUACACCAUGGAUCAUUAUUUAUUGUAAAAGGGUAAUUGGUAAUUGAUAAGUAGUUUUUCUUAGUGUAAAGUUUUAUGAACAUAACUUUUAGACAUUAGUCUAAAAGUUAUGUUCAUAAAACUUUAUAUGUUUCUGAGUAUGGAAAUAAGUGUUUAUAUAAGGUUUUAUUUAUUAUUUUCCCUAGUGAAUUAGGAGCUAAUAAGAAAAUUUCAGAUAAAUUACUUUGUGAUUUAUGUUUCUGAUUUCCUGAAAGUGAAACUAUAAGCUUGUGAUAAAUAUGUUUCUAUAUUUGGAAGUUUGUCUUCUUAUGAUGAUUAAGCUUGAAAGGAAAUACUUUUUCACGUGUUCAGGUUCCUUAUGAAAAAAAGAAUAUCUUUUUGUUUUGAUAGUGAUAGAUAAUAAGUUAAUAUUCAUAUUCUUUUUUCUUCUUGUACUGGUUCCGUAAGGGAAAAAGUAGAAUGGAAGAAGUCCUGAGGAAUAAUGUGUUUGUUAUGUUAACUUUAUAGAUGUUAUGCCAAUUGAUUUGUCGUAAUAGGUAUGUUAACAUAACUGUGGUUUGUUUUCCUAUAAGUAGUAAGGUAUGCUUUUUAGUAUAGUAAAGGUUAGCAUGAGUAAGUAUGAUUAAAAGUUUAUAUUUUAUAUUUUUAUUGGAAAUUAAAAUUAUUUAUCUUUUAUUUCUAUAUUUAAAUAAGUAUAAUUGAUGAAUUCGGCAAGAUAAGGUACACCUGUUUUCUAAAAACAUAGAUGCCAUAAGAAUUGGUAUCGUUUACUGCCAAAGGUUUUUCUACUGGCAGCGGUAUAUUGACCGUAAUAAGGUACCGUAAUUGAUAGUUGUUUGAUUGACAACCAGGGAAGUGAAGAUGAUACCUUUCCUGUAUGAAUUAUACCUGUCUGAAAUUAUGUUGAUGAUGAACAUAUCAUCUUUAAUGAAAGGGAGGAAAAGACCCAGGAUUCUUGAAUGAUUUUUGUUAUGUAUAUUUGCAUAUGAUCAUUUUACUUGGGGUAAGGUUUUUACAAUGUAUGUAAAAGUUACUCUUAUUUUGUUUUUUGAUAACAAAAGAUAUCCUGGGGUAAUGGGGCAAGAUUUCUGCUACCUCGAUGUUGGGUCCUUUAUCUUUCAUCAUAAGUGUGAUGAUAAGAGAGACUGUUCUUCUCUUGAAAGAAGACGUGACCUGAGUUUAAAACGUUGAAAGACAGUUUGGGUUCUAUCUUUUUAUAAAGUAUGUUUAGGUUUACAGUUUCUACUUUCGGUACGAAAGGAUGUUGUAGAAUA
rnacentral:rRNA from 1 species